AAUGCAACAUCUAUUUUCUUACAGAAGGAAAGAGAGGAACAAAAGAAAGAACAGGAGAUACAAAAGCGGAGAAUGGAUAACCUGGAGAAUGUAAACGCUGAGCUGAAGAAAGAACAGGAGAAACAAAAGAAAGAACAGGAGAAACAAAAGGCUCGGAUGGAGAGACUUGAGAAAAUGCUGCUGAAUAACAACAAUGGUGGUUCUUAGAUGGACGGAAGGGGUGGACAAACCGGUGCCAUGCUCAUCUCGAUCAAAAUGGCAAAUGGAUGAGAUUUAUUGACAUUUGAACAAGUAUCCCGAGGCUUUACUUGGCUAUACGAAGCACAAAAGAAUUUUGACAGAGAACAGCGCCGGUGAAUUUGGAAGUGUCAGAAACAUUUUCUGUGUUUGUUUUAUAUUUUUGUAGACUUUGACUGCUUUUUUAAGUUGUAUUUUAUUCAUACGUUUGCAAAUAUGAACUUUCUGACCAGAUUAAGAGUGAUUUUAUGAAAGACUUUUUUUUAGAAAUUUGGAUUUUAAACAAGAUUUAUCACAGGGCCAUUUUUUCCAUCAGAGUAGUUUCUCAUAUUUUGUUUAAAGCAACAUAAAAUACCAAUGAAGGUAUUUAUUCAGAAUAAUAAGAAGCUGCUGACCCUAAUUUGGUUGGAUAAAGAUUUACCUCCCCUAGAUAGACAAUAUCAACGACAAUAAAAUACCAUGGCAUGAAACUUCACAUUCUCCAUAUUAAGUGAAGAUUGGUGCAUAAGAAUAAAAGAAAAUCAAAAUAAUCAUUGUUAUUUGCAAAAUUAAUAUCGAAUAUUAUGUUGCAAGAAAACAAAAUACUAUCUACUCAAGGACAACAUCAAAACUUUGUAUCUUUUUGGAUUAUACGACUUCCGCUAAACCAAUAAAUAUAGUCCUGGGUUUGGGGUGGUUUUGUUGCACUCCACCUAGAUCACUCUGAAAUGGCUUACUUUAUACCAUUAGCUGCUUUUGUUUGUUAACAUUGCUAGGAUCAAUUUUGAUACUUAUUUAUAUAUAAUUUCAUUAUUUUCCUACUCACAUCAAUCAAAAUGUUUAUUGCUAAAAUAGGCUAUCUGUAUCAAUCAAAUUGUCCAUUGCUAAAAUUGGAUAAAGGGGUUUUCUUGAUACAAAAAAUUUGGUUAGAAUACAAUACAAAACAAUGUUCCAUAACUCACUGAAAAGAUAUGGUAAAUCCUUAACUUUUGUUAACAUUUUUAAAUAUUUUUUGGUUAUGGUUGAUAUUAUGAUUAUCAUUGAAAUAUCAUUUAAUUAACACCAUUGAAUGAAAAUCUAUUUUUUGACUGUAGUGCAUGUUCCCCAACAAUUUAAAAAUAUAAAAUAUGUUCAAACAGGACAAACAUUCCAAUUUUAGCUGUAAUCAUUUAACGUAAAGGGUACCAAAGUAUUAACUAUACAUGUAACCGCAACGUAAGAGAGUUAUUCAUUCGUGCAUUCUUCUUUUGUUUUAAGAAGAUGAAGCAUCCAAAAGGAAUUUUUUUCUGGCUAAGAGUAACUUCCCCUGUCAGGUUAGCUAUCUUUCAAUGUUCAUUGUUUUGUCGACCCUAAAUUGGACAUUCACUAUUUAUACUUGCCAACUUUCCCUAUUUUAUAGGAUGACUCCCAGUUUUGGAUCCUCAAACUAACGUACAUUUUAAAACAGUGAAAUUUAGUAUAAACUAUUCGUAUAUUCUCAGAUUUUUAACAGAACAACUGAAAGUGUGCCAUUUUGAAGUGUUAUGUUUUCAUCAGGGGAUUUUACAAACAUUUUAUUAUGUUUUAUUUUAUUUUUUGAGCACAGGAACCGAUAAUCUUGAAAUUUUAAAGGUAUGAUUAUUGAUACUGUACAUUCAUAAAUCCUAUCCCGCACCAUAUGUAAAUCAUCAGAUAUUCAAUAUAAGGAUCGACUUUUACUCUGCAGUUUUUCAUUCUUUUUUCUUUCCAAAAAUUAUAAAAGGCGUCGCAACAUGUUAUUUUUAUGGAACACUUCCUUUGAAAAGGACUCAACAAAUAUGUCACAAUAGUGAAAAUGGUAAUUGUAUAGUUCAACUUGUUGGUACCCUUUACAUUUACUUUGCUGUUAUUACUUGAAUCAGUGUGUUUUGAUUAUUUGUUUAAUAGAAAAACUAGAUUACUGUAAAUGUUCUAUUGUUAUAAUAACGCCUCUAUUUAAGGAUCCCUGACCCACUGCCAAAAACUGUAACUACGUUUUGGAAACCGUUUUUCAAUCAUUACUAUAGCUUUGAUAAAUCAUUUCAGAAAAGAAAACUUUACAUUGCAGGACAUUUAUGAGAAAUAAUAGAGAUGAAAUGAACAAAAAGAUAUUUAACAACAGUGUUCUGAGUGUAGAAUUUAAGAGGGCUAGGCCAUGAUUCGAACCCUGGACUUCCGAUUGUUAUACUGUCGCUGGAACCAAUUUACCUACCUUGUCAACAGAAAUGACCAGGCCAAACAAUGCUACAGUUAUAUCCAAGCGGAUGUUAAGGGGAGAUAAUCACUUUUGUGAAAAAAACAAUGUAGUGGAACAGGGAUCCUUAAUCAUGAUAUAGAUAAUGAAUAAGUGUUGUUUGUAACAAUUAUAUAACCUUUUAUAAUCGAAUGUAUUCGGUUUAUGCAUAUAUUUUUGUAAUAACCAUUUUUCCUUUUUGAAUAUAAAGUAUGUAGUUCAAGCAGA